UGAAGCCUACUUUAAACCCUUUUCCAUUGAUUUAUUCAACACUGUUUCCCAGCUAAGUAGAGCCUUUGUUAAAGUAAUAUUUAAUAUUUCCCUCAAAGAAUUUUCCCAAAAGUCGUUCAUCAACUCUCAUUUCAAAUCUUCAACUGCCUCGUAAGAUAAUUCUGCCGAAUCGUCCCCGGCGUACGAAACGACACCGUAGAAAUGCAGUAAACGUCACCCAAAACAGCGGUGAAAUUAGUCGAAACCACCGUAGAGUUCGUCCGUCUCCGGUGUGUCAAAUGCCGAAUUCGUGUAGUAUCAGAGCUCUCUGGAUCCUCACCAAUCAAGACACCGUUGUUUUCUCCCGGAGAUUUCCGGUGGUGGAGAAGCGGUGGCGGGCAGCAUGUGAGAGAGAUAAGAGUAGUAUAGUGGAGGAUGAUUUGAAAUAUAAUGUGGUGCCUUCUCUUCCUACUGAUUCUGAAAUUGCUGCUGCUUUCAUUGACCGCAAGCAAAGGGAGGGAUCUGCUCGUGGAUUUGGCAUUAGGAUAAAUCAGUCAGUUGAAGGUUCUGAUUCCUGGGUUGAUGAUCCGAUUACGCGUCACAUAAUAAGUUUGUGCAUUAAAAAAGAAGAGGAGGAAAAGAAUCGUAUUGUCUGGCCACUUGUUUUGCACAUUAAGGGACUCUACUGUAUCCUUGUACUGCCUUUGGUGGGACCUGAUCAUCUAAAAGUAUAUACAAGGAUGCGUAAAAGAUCUGACUGUGGAGAUGCUGUUGGAGCCGAUGAAAAUUUAUCCCCAUUCCUGCUUAAUCUUCCAUCAAUCACAGGGGCAUUUAUGGUGGGCCACAUGAUAGGAGACAUCAUAACAGGCGAUGUGACAGAACCGGAAAUAGUCAUAAGUGCUUCUCCAUCAGUGGGUGGGUUGUUGGAUUCUCUCACCGGAAGUAUUGGUAUUUCAGCAAGAGCUAAACCUGUAGCUGCUCCAGUUGCAGGAUCAGCAGCUUCUGGAGCUGCAACAAGUGGAGCAAUGACAUCUGAUGCUCCAAAAAUUGGUUUGAGGCCCCUGGAUAGAGAUGCGAUUCGCUCUUUCAUAAGCAGUGCAAUGCCUUUUGGCACCCCUCUGGAUCUUAACUACACCAACAUUUCAGCAGUUAAGAUAAAUGGAUUUUCUUCAGCAGAUAUCCCUCCUGCAGAUCAGAAGCAACCAGCAUGGAAACCUUAUCUUUAUAGAGGGAAGCAGAGAAUUCUGUUUACAAUUCACGAGACAGUCCAUGUUGCCAUGUAUGAUCGCGAUGAAAUUCCAGACAGCAAAAAAAUUUCAGGUCAAGUUAACUGUCGAGCAGAAUUAGAAGGGUUGCCUGAUGUGAUGUUCCCACUUAUAGGUUUGGACACUGCUCGUGUUGAGCUGUUAUCCUUCCACCCCUGUGCUCAAGUUCCAGAGCAUGGUAACGAGAAACAAUCACUUAUGUUCUCACCACCAUUAGGAAAUUUUGUACUGAUGCGUUAUCAGGCAUUUUGUGGUAUGGGACCUCCAAUUAAGGGUUUUUAUCAGCUUUCAAUGGUUUCAGAAAAUGAAGGUGCAUUUUUGUUUAAGUUACGGCUCAUGGAAGGUUAUAGAGCUCCUCUGUCAAUGGAUUUCUGCACCGUGACAAUGCCGUUCCCUAGGAGAAGGGUUCUCUCUUUUGAUGGGACACCUUCUAUUGGAACAGUUGCAGUUGCUGAACACUUGGUUGAAUGGAAAAUUAUAACAACCGGUCGAGGAGUUUCAGGAAAGAGUGUUGAGGCAACAUUUCCAGGAACAGUUAAGUUUGCUCCAUGGCAACCUCAAAGAUUGCCUACCUCAGGGGCAGUACUUGGGAAUAUGGAAGAUGAAGAGAGUGAUGCUGAAACAGAGUCAACAUAUAAUAUGGCAAACGUGGAAGAGCUCUUAAUGGAAAAAAUGAAUAAGGAUCUUCAAGCAGUUGAUUUGGAGGAGCCAUUUUGCUGGCAAGCAUAUGAUUAUGCUAAAGUAUCUUUCAAGAUAAUGGGAGGAUCAUUAUCAGGAAUGUCUAUUGAUCCAAAAUCUGUAAGCAUUUUCCCUGCUGUUAAAGCACCCGUGGAAUUUUCAACUCAGGUGACUUCUGGGGAUUAUAUUCUGUGGAACACAUUAGGAAAAUGUCCGGUUGCUGCCACACCCAAAGCAUAGAGUUGCAAAAUAUAUUGUUGGCAUAUCUGAUUAGGAGCAAUGACAGACGGUUAACUUGUCGGAUGGCUGCUGAGUUUGAGAGAUUGGCAUCAAAGAGGCUUCAUGCAAAAGAGAUCUUAUCGUGGAGCCAUUCUGAAACAAGUUCCUGUUUCAGUGAGAUUGCACAAUUGGGAAAUGAAUGACUCUUGUUUCUUGUCAUUUUCUAUAUGUGGGACAAGACUACUUGAGACGUGUGUUUCUACUAGGUGAAAGAUACUCUUCUGUUGCUAAAGAGUCUCGUGCCUUCUGCUAUUACACACAUGCUUUCUCAAGAAACUUGAUCAGCAGCCUUACCUUUGCUUCAUUCAACUGCUAUAAACUAGAAAGAUGCUGAGAUUUCUAGCUCUUGGUGAGUUGCUUUCUAAUUUGUGUAGACACUGGUGUUCUUUGAAUUGGAGCCCUUUUUGACUGAAAGGCGGCUUCUCCGUUGUAAGAUAAAUCGGUGCAUGUGUAUUUUUUGUUAACGUACCUAUGGGUUCAUGAAGGGUACUCUCAAAAUUAGCACUUUACCUCAACAAUCAAGAAUGAUAUACGUACAAAGCCUAUUAAGGGGAGAACAAUUAAGUUCAUUCACAUUCGUGAAUUCUUUUCUUAGCUAUCAAUGUCUAAUAUACCUGUAAACUCCUUAGGCUUCAUUCUUCAGAUAUACAAGGCCUAAGGAUUCUACAUC